CUACUAUAAGUCCUUCCAGUUCUUCUAUGUGAGCCGCCACCACAGCAUGGCAACUGACAGAUGAGUUGUGUGGUCCUGCAACUGGGAAACAAACCCGGGCCCCAGAAACGGCCCACUGCCCCAUCCACAGUGGUGGGUGACCCUCAAGGUACUGCAACCUCCGCUUCAGGAUCUUUUCCGUACCUGGAUCAAGAGUGGAUGAGAGGAUGAAGGCACUACGGCACCAGUCUCAGGCCGUGAAACCACACGAGGCCUUUCCAUGGAGUGUUAUAGGCUUAAAGCCCAUGCCCCUCUAUGACCAGACUUCCCUUCCUGCUUAUCAGAAAUUCUGAGACG
rnacentral:lncRNA from 1 species